ACAAGAACCCAGGCGGGGCCGGCGAGCAGUGGGGGAGUGCUGAGGGAGGACCCGGGGUGGGGAGCUGAGGGAGGAUCCGCAGGGCUGAGGGAGGAUCCAGGAGAGCUGAUAGAGGUCCCGGAGGGCUGAGGGAGGACCCAGGGGUCCUGAGGGAGGACGCAGGGGGCUGAGGGAAGACGCAGGGGGGCUGAGGGAGGAUCCUCGGAGCUGAAGGGGCAUCAGCUGGGCUGAGGGAGGACCCAGGGGGACUGCGGGAGCACCCGGGCGGGGGCUGAGGGAAGGAGGAUCCGCGGGGCUGAGUGGGCACCAGCUGGGCUGAGGGAGGAUCCAGGGGGAGCUGCGGAAGGAUCUGCGGGGCUGAGAGAGGAUCUAGAAGGGGUGAGAGAGGUCCCAGGAGGCUAAGGGGGGAAUCUGCAGAACUGAGGGAGGUCCCAGGGGGCAGUGAGGGAGGAUCCAUGGGCGCUGAGGUGGGAAUCUAGGGAGGCUGAGGGAGGAUCUGUGGGGAUGACGGAAGUUCAAGGGGGGCUGAAGAGGCACGCAGCGGGCUGAGGAGGACCUGAGAGGCUGAAGGAGGAUCCGAAAGGCUGAUACAGCGGGGCUGAGGGGGGAUCCGCGGGGUUGGCGGGGGCUGAGAAAUGACCCUGUAGUUCACAGCAAAAUGGAGUAAUUUAUGUCACAACGUAACCAAAAUGGAGUGGGGAGGGCCCUAAGGAAGCAGCUGUCACGCAUUUCUGAAAUGCCAGAGAGGCUCGCUAUUACCUUGUAAACAGAGCUUAUUCCGGGCAUUUCCACUGGCCUGCAGUAUUCCAGAUGAGAUGUUUGGACCAGGGCAGGCAGAUAGCAUCGCCUAUCUGCCUCAGCGAACCAGGGUCACUUUGUGCAAUGAGUUCAUGAGACCAGGGCCUUUGUUUUGUGAAAGUUACAAAUAAGGAGUGAAAUCACUUUGUCAGGCCCAGACAAACAGGGCUGGGAAGAACAGGAGGCUCAGGCUUAGUGUCUGAGAUAAGAAUUAUUCGCAAGGACUUUCUAAAAACCCCACAAGAAACCCUUUUGUGUCAUUCACGGGUCUCCUACUUUGACAAAAUUUAGACCAUCUUUAGGACUGCAGUAAUUCAGUUAAGAUGCUCGGAAUAAACACUUGCCCAGUAAUGGCAGCGCCACCAAUGAACUGAGGACAACUUUGAGCUUUGGCGUUGGGCCCCUGGAACCAAUGAACUCUUUCUAAGCAGCUUCUGUGAACCGCUCCCUUUUCGCUGAUAAAAGUUCCCUUUUCACUGAUAAAAAGUUCCCUUUACCCUUCCCUCACUGGGAAUGCUGGUGGCUUGCUGCUGUUGAUGAAAAGAGUCAAACUUUGUAAAAUAUUUUAAGAGAUAUAUUCUGAGCCAAAUAUGAGUAACCAUGGCCUGUGACACAGCCCUCAGGACAGAGGUCCUGAGAACAUGUUCCCAAGGUGGUUGGGGUGCAGCUUGGUUUUAUACAUUUUAGGGAGGCAUGAGACAUCAAUCAAAUACAUUUAAAACCUACAUUGGUUUGGUUCAGAAAGGCAGGACAACUCGAAGCAGGGGUCAAGGGUGCUGGCUUCCAGCUUAUAGGUAGAUUGAAAAAUUUUCUGUUUGACAAUUGGUUGAAUUUACCUGAAGACCUGGGAUUAACAGAAAGGAAUGUCUGGGUUAAGAUAAAAGAUUGUGGGUGGGGUGCAGUGGCUCACACCUGUAAUCCCAGCACUUUGGGAGGCUAAGGCAGGCGGAUCACGAGGUCAGGAGUUCGAGACCAGCCUGACCAACAUGGUGAAACCUCCUCUCUACUAAAAAUACAAAAAUUAGCUGGGCGUGGUGGUGUGUGCCUGUAAUCCCAGUUACUCAGGAGGCUGAGGCAGAAGAAUCACUUCAGCCCAGGAGGCGGAGGUUGAAGUGAGCCGAGAUUGCGCCACUGCACUCCAGCUUAGGCAAUAGAGUGAGACUCCAUCUAAAAAAAAAAAAAAAGGAAAGAAAAAAAAAUAUAUAUAUAUAUGAUUGUGGAGACCAAAGUUCUUAUUUGCAGAUGAAGCCUUCAGGUAUUAGGCUUCAGAGAGAAUAGGUUGUAAAAUGUUUAUCGGACUUAAAGUCUAUGUUGAUGUUAAUGCCAGAGAGGUAUAAUGAGGCAUGUCUGACCCCCACUUCUUAUGGCCUGAACCAGUCUUUGAGGUUAAAUUUUAAGAGUUCCAGGCCAGGCACAGUGGCUGACACCUGUAAUCCCAACACUUUGGGAGGCAGAGGUGGGCGAAUCACUUCAGGUCAGGAGUUCGAGACCAGCCUGGCCAACAUGGUGAAACCCGGUCUCCACUAAAAAAUAUACAAAAAUUAGCCAGGCAUGGUGGUGCGCACCUGUAAUCCCAGCUACUCAGGAGGCUGAGGCAGGAGAAUCACUUGAACCUGGGAGGCAGAGGUUGCAGUGAGCAGAGAUCGCACCACUGCACUCCAGCCUGGGUGACAGAGCAAGACUCCGUCAAAAAAAAAAAAUUUUUUUUAAGAGUUCCCUGGCCGAGGAGGAAGUCCAUUUAGAUGGCUGGGGAGCCUUAUAAAUUUAUUUUUUAUUUUUGGUUUACACUUGAUAAAAACUUCAGCCGAAUUAAAUUUAAAGUUUAAUUGAGCAAUGAAUGAUUCACGAAUCACGCAGCCCCCAGAAUCACAGCAGAUUCACAGAGACUCCAGCACAGCCACGUGGUGGAAGAUUCGUAGACAAAAAAAGGUAAAUGAUGUACAGAAAUUGAAAGUAAAGUACAAAACAGCUGGAUUGGUUUCAGGUUGGUGUUUGCCGUAUUUGAACACAGUUUGAACGCUCAGCAGUAUAUGAAUAGUUGAAGUGCAGCCUCUGGGAUUGGCCAAGACGCAGCUAUUGUUACAGUUGCAUACUCCUGUUAGGUUUUCAAUCUAUCUACCUAUUAAGCUAGGUUGCAGUUCAUCCACAAGGACUCAAAUAUAAAAAUAUGAAGUCCUUCUCAGGCCAUAUUUAGUUUGCUUCAGCAACUACCCUCUUUUGGUCAUUUUCUCAAUUUUGAGAGAUUGACCAAAACUUUAGUUGUUGUCACUAUCACCAUAGUAAAUGUACUUAUUUGCUCCUGAAAUCCAGUGGGAAACAGUAGAACAAUGAGUUUUCCAAAGGUAGGAACAAAGACUGAGUAGAGGGUACCUCUUUAUGCUGGAACAUCCUGUUUACAGGAGAAAAAACCUGGUCUGUUCUAGGAUUUAUAUGUAUCCUUAGUUUGAUUAUGUCACAUUUAGCAUGAGUGACUCCAUUUUAGUUUGGUUUGUCCUGUUGGGACCUAGUGCAUGAGCUUAGUCCAAAACAAUGGCCUCCCAUAAUUGUGUUUUUUAAAAAAUUCCCCCUUUUUGGUCAGGUUCUUACUUAGGUGAGAGUGUGACCAAAACUUGGGGCCUUAGCACCACUCUCUGUUACCAUCAUUUUGUGUUUCUGGUGUCAGCACAUCGUUCAUAGGUUAUGGUAUCCUCAUGGUCACAUAUUUCUUUCAGCUCUUUCAUUCCAGUUGAAGAGAGACCAUUUGACGUUCUAGAGAUAGCUGUGUGCAAUCAUUUAAAAUCUUUGAGAGAAUACAGUGCACCAGGGAGACUAUUAUUAUGCCUAUUGGGAGCAUAAUACCAAGAGUUUGGAGUAUGCUCCUUACCCAGGGUCCCCAUAAACCAAACCACCUAAAAUUAAAUAGAUUAAAGAAUGAGUGAGAUGAAGGGUCUACUUGCUUGACUAAGUGAUCUUUUCAUUAAUCUUCUACAACUGAAUUUUUAUAAUCUACAUUUAAUGUAUUCCUCCAUAGGCCACAGCUGCCAGCAGCUGCACAGGUACUUUUCUAUUUAACUAAUUCUAUUAUUUAGCAUAACUUUCACAAGAGAAUUUAAAGUCUGUUGUGUAACGAUAGUCUUUACAGUAGAAUCUGCUAGAAAGCCUAUUAUGAGGGAUAUAUUUCUAGUUAUUGCCUAUUUUAUUCUAAACGAUGGAAAAAGGACCUAACAAAUGAUGUCCUUUUAGAAAAGUGAAGGCCCCCUGACAAUGUUCUCUUUAACCCAUGAUGUGGGUUAAGAGGAGUUUUUACUGAUUAUGAGGAAAUAUAUGUACAAUUAAAGUUUUUCACCUACAUUGGGCCUUCGUCUUGUCUUUAUCAAAGUAUAAGUUUAUUCAUGUAUAAGGCUGGCUACAAAAUCCUUCACAAAUAAAAGUAUACCUUAUAACUGAACAUAAUAGAACCCCUUUUCAUUUCUAUUAUUCAUAGAGGCAUAAACAAGGAAAAAAAUAUUCAAAGAUAAGAGUCUCAUUAUAGAAGCCUUGAUCCAUGAUCAUGGGAAAAGCUGUUCACAUCAAGGAUGCCAUCUUCUUCUGGGAAGAAACUUUCUGGGUUAGUUUUACCUUAAGGAUUCCAAUGGGUGUACAGUUCCAAGAGUGUAGAGGGACCCCUUUCAGUUGUUUAUGAACCCAAGGUUCAAGGUUCCAAAGUUUUGUUGCAGUGUAGAAGGACAGUCUUUCUCUGAUGUUCUCAGAAGAGUCAGUCUUCAGGUUCUGGAUUGUGAAGGGGUUGAUUGUCCUCAGUGAACCAUAAAAAGUUUUCUUUAUCUGGUGAAAAUAUACUCUGGCAUAAUAAUUAGCUGUUAUAACAUAAAACAUGCAUUGAAAAUGACAGUGGAAUGAAAUUCAUUUAUACAUGUUUAAAUGACCCAUCAGGUAGCCAAAUGUACCUGAAGGUUUGAUUACCUUCCCAGGAAUAUGGAACCAACCAUUGGUUUUAUUUUAUUUUAUUUUAUUUUGAGAUGGAGUCUCACUCUAUUGCCCAGGCUGGAGUGCAGGGGCAUGAUCUUGGCUCACUGCAGCCUCCACCUCCCGGGUUCAAGCGAUUCUCCUGCCUCAGCCUCCUGCGUAGCUGGGACUGUAGGCACCCGCCACCACGCCCAGCUAAUUUUUACAUUUUUAGUAGAGACAGGGUUUCACCAUAUUGGCCAGGCUGGUCUUGAACUCCUGACUUUGUGAUCCACCCACCUCAGCCUCCCAAAGUGAUGGGAUUACAGGCAUGAGCCACCAUGCCCAGCUGUGUUUUUUUUUUACAAGAAUCAUCUGCUUAUUUAUUUUACAAAGUAAUUAUUUAAAUUGAGUACAUUUGGGCACAGUAGAUAUUGGACAUGAAAAGUAUUUGUAUCAGAAUGGGCAUCAGAAAAAUAGCAACUCAUCUUACACAUAAUAACUAGAAAAUAUUAUUCUGUCUGAUCAUUUAAGUGUUACAAAUCCUGAGAAUGUUAUACACUGAACAAAUUAGGUACUACCUUAAAAUUAAAUCUUGCUUGGAAAUAAUCCUUUAAAAAUGAUCUGAGGUACAAAUCAUCUAUGUAUUAAACGUGAGUCUUUGACAUUAUACAAAGAGUUUAAACAAAUAUAUAAAUUACAGGUCAGUGGCUCUUAAAAUAGCUACCAGUCAGGUUCAAGGACACACUGUUCCGCAAUUUCCCAUAAGCUGGGGUUUUCCAUUGCAGCCUCCACUUGCUCUUUGUUGUUUAUCUGCAUACUUAUAUCUUCUGUUGAGUGGGUUCCUUCAGAAAUGUAGAUUUCCAACUUAUGUUUAAAUGGUAAACACUGCUGAAGUUUUAUUCUUAAGCACAGCCCCAUAAGAAUCGCCAAAUAUCAAUGAGGUACUCUUGGUGUAAACUUGAUAAUAACCAGAUAGUCUUCUUCAUUUAUCUCCUGAACUUCCAUAUAACUUUCCGUUACCAAUUCCAGUUCUUCUAAAGUAUUGGGCUUUUCUGGGUCCCAGAUAGUUCGAAUCAAAUCAUAAACCUCUAGCACUUUCUCUUCCAUGAUCCGGGGCUGCCGGGCAGCUCCCCACUCAAAGAGGCCCGAGAGCCACAGGAUUCUGCUCAGUGUCCAGGAAAGCAGCCUCAGCUCUGCCAUCCCUGGCAACUGUGGAGGUAUUGGUUUUAAACAGUUUUCACAAUUUACAAGUUAACCACAUCAGUAUAUUAAAUUUGGGUCAUUUUAUCUUUUCCAUGAUGAAUCAUAAAAUCCAGAACCAUUAAUAACAAAAGCCUUAGAGUCUCAAGAGGGACAAGGUGGCCAUCCUGGUUCUCCAUGAGUCCAUGCUUAACACUGGACUUAUGUCCUCUUGAAUACCAGUUGUUUCUCCAAUUUAUCAUAGGUAAUUUGACUCAGACCUUGGAGUUCAAAUUGUAUAUCUAAACAAUUUUAGUAUUGGCUGGCUUAACAUGAAAAUCUGGCAAAGUAUUUUCUUGGAAUUUCAAUAAUUUUUUCUUUUUUUGAGACAGAGUCUCACUCUGUUGUCCAGGCUGGGGUACAGUGGCAUGAUGUUGGCGCACUGCAGCCUCCAUCUCCUGGGUUCAAGUGAUCCUCCUGCCUCAGCCUCCCAAGUAGCUGAGAUUACAGACUUGCACCACCAUACCCAGCUAAUUUUUGUAUUUUUAAUAGAUACAGGGUUUUGCCAUGUUGGCCAGGCUGGUCUGAAACUCCUGACCCUGUCAGGUGAUCUGCCCACCUCAGCCCCGCAAAGUGCUGGGAUAACAGGUGUGAGUCACUGUGCCUGGCCUGUAUUUAAUUUUUUCUGUUCCACUUGAGUUAGCAGUUUUAUGCAAGGGAAUUUGGUUAUUUCUGUCGUGUAUAAUAACAACAUAAUAACCAUAAUUAUGAUUGACAAUAUAUAUUUAGACAUAUUAGAAUUUUAGAAAUCCUAUAUAAUUUUGGAACAUAUAUUAUUGUCCACUAAAAUACAAACUGAAGAUUAUACAUUAUUUUUAUUUUGACAAUGCUUCUAUGUAACUUAACAUGUUAAAUAAUUCUGUUUACCUCUCUUUUGGAGGCUUUAGGGGCCCUCUGUAGCAUUCCAAAGUUAGAGGUCAGAAAAGACCAUUUUGGGGCCAGGUGUGGUGGCUCAUGCCUGUAAUCCCAGCAUUUUGGGAGGCCGAGGUGGGUGAAUCACCUGACACCAGGAGUUCGAGACUAGCCUGGCCAACAUGGUGAAACCCCGUCUCUACUAAAAACACAAAAAAUUUUCUGGGCAUGGUGGCAGGUGCCUGUAAUUCCAGCUACUCAGGAGGCUGAGGCAGGAGAAUUGCUUGAACCCAGGAGGGGGAGGUUGCAGUGAGCCAAGAUUGCACCAUUGCACUCCAGCCUAGGCAACAAGAGCGAAGCUCCAGUCAAAAAAAAGAAAAAAAAAAAGAAAGACCAUCUUGGGCUGGGUAUGGUGGCUCACACCUGUAAUCCUAGUAAUCCUAGCACUAGCACUGUGGGAGGCUGAGACAGGCGGAUCACUUGAGGUCAGAAGUUUGAGACCGCCCUGGCCAACAUGGUGAAACCCCAUUUCUACUAAAUAUACUAAAUUUACCCAAGCAUAGUGGUGCAUGCCUGUAGUCCCAGCUACUUGGGAGGCUGAGGCAGGAGAAUCACUUCAACCCAGGAGGUGGAGGUCGCAGUGAGCCAAAAUCAAACCACUGCACUCCAGCCGGGGUGACAGGGCAAGACUCCAUCUCAAAAAAAAACAAAAACAAAAAAGCCAGAGAGACAGAGAGAAAAGACCAUUUUGAAGAUGAAAUUUGAUUUUUGGAAGACUAUUAAAUAUGUUAAAGGUUUAAGGCCAGGCACGGUGGCUCAUGCCUGUAAUCCCAGCACUUUGGGAGGCCAAAGCAGGUGGAUCACCUGAGGUCGGGAGGUCCAGAUCAGCCUGACCAACAUGGAGAAACCCUGUCUCUACUAAAAAUACAAAAUUAGCCAGGCAUGGUGGUGCGUGCCUGUAAUCCCAGCUACUCAGGAGGCUGAGGCAGGAGAAUAGCUUGAACCCAGGAGGUGGAGGUUGCGGUGAGCUGAGAUCGUGCCAUUGCACUCCAGCCUGGGCAACAAGAUCGCAACUCCAUCUCAAAAAAAAAAUGUUAAAGGUUUAAAACAUUUGAUAUUAUGAACUAGAAUUCCGGUUUACCAUAAGUCAUUCAUUUAGCCAAAAUGAUGACUCAAACAUUUUUCAAAAGGCAAAAACCUUUUACUCAUUAAUAGAAAGAAGACUUACCUUUCCAAAUAAUCUGUCUUGUGUAUUCCCCCCUCCCCUUUUUUUUAGUAGUGUAUUUAAAAGGCAAACAAAAUCUUUCAUUAUCUUUCAAUAUUACAUGAAAAUUUUGUUCAACAGAGAAAGCCAAAUUUCACCCUUGCAUUAGUGUACUAUUAAUGUCAACCACAGUUUUUAAUAUAACCUCAUAGACAAAUGUAUCCAAUCUUAAUCAGUUUGACCAUAAGGUGAGAUUUUCAUAAACCUUUUAUAACCCUUUACAAAUUUUUGUUAAAAAGCAGAUUAGUGCUUUAAGAAAACCCUGUUGUACUUUUAUUUUGACGUUCAAUUUAGGGAAAAAACAAAUAAUACCCCUUUAAAUUUAGUCAAUAUUUUCACACAUAGAAUUUCUUUUACAAGGUUAAUUUUUACAAACCUUCCACGAUUUCUUUAAACCUUUAAUUUAAUUUAAUUUAAAACAAUCCCUUAACCCUCUAAAGUAGGCAAAAAUUUAUAUUCCCAUGCCCUCUUAUAAUCUCUUAACCAAAAACACAUUUCAUUUUCCUUACACACCUCGUAAAACCUAUUUUUUUCAGUAGUUUCAAUUACAUGUUAUAAUGGUAAUUCUUAGCAACUUUCACUUUUGGUGCAUAAAUUUUCUUUUACGAAUCCUUUCACAACUUACACAGAGCAUCUAUGACAUGCUUGGAUUUUCUGACUUGUCUUAAACAUCCCUCUUUUAAAUAACCAGUCAUUUUACUUCAGGAUAAGAAUUUAGCUUACAAGACCCUUUCUUAUAUAAAGUCUCUUUUCUUUACAAACUUCUUUUCAUAGCUAGGGGGCAUGGCUAAUUCCACAUAUUCCCAGGCCUUAUUUAGAAUUUAAUGUCUCCAAAAUUAUUUGAACAAUUUUCAAAAGUCAAAGCAGUAUAUGACCUUAAGGCAUUAAGGAAACCUAAUAUCUGACCUGCAUAAUUUAGACUAAAUACUAAAUAAUAAAUAUCUGACCUGCAUAAUUUAGACUAAACACUAAAUACAUAAAUUUUAGGCUAAAAUAAAUGUCUUCAUUUUAUUAAUAAUUUUUUUUCUUGGAGGCAGAGUCUCGCUCUGUUGUCCAGGCUGGAGUGCAGUGGCAUGAUCUGGGCUCACUGCAAGCUCUGCCUCCCCGGUUCACGCCAUUCUCCUGCCUCAGCUUCCCAAGUAGCUGGGACUACAGGCCUGCCACCAUGCCUAGCUAAUUUUUUGUAUUUUUAGUAGAGAUGGGGUUUCACCAUGUUAGCCAGGAUGGUCUCAAUCUCCUGACCUCGUGAUCCGCCCCUCUUGGCCUCCCAAAGUGCUGGGAUUACAGGCGUGAGCCACCGCGCCACCUGGCCUAUUUUAUCAAUAAUUUUUAAGCUGUUUUUAUUUUCCAAAGAUUACUAAAGUUACAUGAAUAAAAGGCAUUACAGUUUUUAUUUUAAAAUAUUUAAGUGCUUAUUUUUGUUUAAGCCAAUUAGAGCUCUUUUAUAUAAACAUUACACACACAACAACACAUAUAUAACUACACAGACAGACUGAAGAAGAUUACUACAGUAGUUGUAAGAUUUUUUCCCAGUUUUUAAGUUUCUUAAUUGGAUUAUUCACUUUAGGGCGGAGUCCUCGGAGGAACAGGGCCAGGAAAGGGUCUCUGGUGCCUCCUGUUUUUCCCAAGGAGCUCCAGGCUGUUAGAGCCUGAAUAUCUGCUUUUAAUUAAGCUGACUUUUAACCAUAGAACUCUUUAAUAAAGUCUUUCUAAAAUUUCUUAUUACCUGACUUUAGCCAGGCCAAAUGGCUGAUAUUUCUGGCUUUUAAACUUUACCAAAAGUAACCUCAUAGGUGCUCUGAGAAGGGAAAAUUCAAGACAGUUGGUGGAGGGGAAGAGAAUUUAAAAAUGGCAAAGGUCACCCAAAUAUUAAUCAGAAAGGUUCAUCCCUUAAUCUAGGGAUUGAACCCUGAACCCGGGCCGCCAUUCUGAAAAGAGAAAGCAUGGCCACAUAAUUACAAGGUCAAGCUCCCAAGGACAUAACUGACCAAUUUGCUGAGCCAUCUUGUAAAGUGGGCUUAUGGGCGUCCUAAGCCUGUGUUCUAUCCUAAGGUACCCCUCUUUAUGACAGAACAACACAGAAAGACACGCAAAGCACACCAGAUUUGCUACAGUUUAAGACCAGCCUCACAAAUCCUUUCUUCCAUUAAUCAAAAUUUACAGAGGAGAUAAACAGUGAUUUUUACCAUUCAUUCAAUGAGUUUGCACAGAGAGAGAGAGAGAGAUCAGAAGUCUGACUGGUAAGAAAUUCUUACCCUUUUGCCGGCAUACCAGGCUUCUGGGUUCUCUUUCCCUGAGUGGCCCUAAUGACCCAGCUGGCUGCACCAUAGUCCUGGGGGCCAAGACACAACACAAAGGAAAAUUUUCUUUUUUCAUUCUGGCCAGAGCAAAAUAUGUGUGAUAAAACACAGACAUUAGCCACUCUGCUUAGCAGCCAAUAUCAAACUGGCAAGACUUAAAUUUGCCCCCAGAUGGGCCCCAUUGUCUUUAAUCCAACCUCUGACUAGGAGUUUCAACAUAUGGUCUCUGGGCAAGAUGGUUUCCCUGAGUAACAGAAAAGAUAGGAAAGGAAAGGUAGAGAAAUAAAAGUAUUACCCAUGGCAGGAUGGGGAAGGUGAAGAGCUCAGGAAGGCCAGAGCAAGACCGACUCUUUGCAGCAAUACUGCAAAGUUCAGGCGGCCGAAUGUCAGUAGCAAAGAUGUCUUUUCCAGCAGUCCCAUCAGCUCUCAAGUUUCCCCAUUUGGGAGGAAAAAUCUCCCUAUGUGCCACUAUCCUGUACAUACAUGCCUAAUCUUGUCACCCACAACCAUCAGCAAAGAGUACAAGGCAAAUUAUUCCAAAGAGAAUAGCAGUUAACAUUCCAUAGUGCCUAACCCGUUCUUAGCCAAAAGGGACUUUACUGAGAGCCCUCAUUUUAAAAUGUACUUCAAUGUGUUGCUCAUUCAGAACAUUCCACUGUAAGUUAUCUUUAGUAAGAUUUUGCCAUUUCUGUGAGACUUUGCUGCCUCCUAGGCCUAAUGUGUAAUCCAGAAGGAACUCAGUUUUCCAGAAAUUAAGAAUCCUAUUUUUAACUAAAAUAUUGGCUUUAUUCUCAGGUUCUCUUAAUUAACUUAGCCAAUGAUUUUUCCUACUUAAGUGCGCAAGAAAAAUGAAACAAAGGGGUAGAACACAAAAAUUCCUGUGAAUUUUCAAAAGCCAAAUUUUAUAACCCCUGCAAUAUUACUGCUUACUACCAGUUUGUUUCUGACUCAGUCAUAUGUAAAAGGCCUCUAACUGGAUCAAAGCCAGUUAAUUCCCGGAUCAAAUCCAUUCCUGUACCCAGCCCAGUUUGUGUCAUGACUUCCAAACCCAGUUUGAAUCAGGAAUUUGCUCAAAGAAACUCAGAGAGCUCAAAACACAAAUCUGUGGAGCUCUGAAAUCUGAGAGCUUACCCACAAUCCUCAGCUGCUCCAAGAGAUCAGUGGACACAAGUGGGUCCUGCAGGUACCAUGCAUAUUCACUCAGCACUCCUGGGGGUUGCUAGAGGCUCUACCUCGAAUCCCACUUCUGACACAACCUGAUAAAAGAAAAACUUCAGCCAAAUUAAAUUUAAAGGAGUUUAACUGAGCAAUGAAUGAUUUGUGAAUUGGGCAGCCCCCAGAAUCACAGCAGAUUCACAGAGACUCCAGUGCAGCCACAUGGUGGAAGAAGAUUUAUAGACAAAAAAAGGGAAAUGACGUACACAAAUCGAAAGUGAGGUACAGAACGGUUGGAUUGGUUACAGGUUAGCCUUUGCCUUAUUUGAACACAGUUUGAACACUCAGCAGGGUAUGAAUGGUUGAAGUAUGGCAUCUGGGAUUGGCCCAGACUUAGCUAUUGUUACAGGCACAUACUCCUAAGUUUUCGAUCUUGUCUACCUAUUAAGCUAGGUUGCAGUUCAUCCACAAAAACUUAAAUAUAGAAGUAUAGAGCCCUCAGGCCAUAUUUAGUUCACUUUAACACACUCUUCUGUGCAUUCUGAAUUAUAAUCCUCAUUUCUUCUCAUUCCCAAGUAAACUCAACAUAUUUAGAGAUAAUUUUCUCUACUUUUUUUUUUAGGUUGACAGUUUCAAAGCAGUUUGCAGGGAUUUCUCUUUGUCUUUAAAAACUCCCUUUUGUCCUGAUUUUCCUCAGGUGGGCUAUGACUUUCGUAGAUGCUGAGUGGAUUAAAACAAAGAGUUUUUCACAUUAUACUCUCAGAACACACUUUUUUAAAAAAAAAAUCUUUAAUCAUUGGCUAUCACAACAUGCUUCUGACACCAGAUGGGGAUUUCUCCCCACACACUAAGCAAGCAAUCAGUUCUGCAGCGGAUAGCAGCUCGGUUUCCUUUGUUCAGUUCGACUCUACUUGAAUGCCAAUCACAAGCCCCAGGUUGCUUUAGCUGUAUUCUGGCCUACCAGCUAUAAAGUAUGGAUCCUAGGACCCCCUUUGGAUUUGAUUAAUUUGCUAGAGCAGCUCACAGAAUUCAAACACUUAGGUUUCCUGGUUUAUUAUAAAGCAUACAGAUGAACGGAUGCACAGGGCGAGUUAUGGGGCUGAAAGCUCCACGCUUUCUGUGGGUCAGCCACCCUCCAUGAACCUCCACGUGUUCAGCUACCCAAGCUCUCCAAACCUAGUCUUUUUGGGGUGUUUAUGGAGGCUUCAUUACUUAGGCAUGAUUGACUAAAUCACUGGCCAUAGGUACUCAGUUUAACCUUCAGUCCCUUUCCCCUCCCCAGACAUGGGGAGGUGGGGAUGAGGCUGAAAAUUCCAAUCCUGCCUUGAUCUUUUCAGUGACCAGCCCCAUUCUGAAGCUACCUAGGGGCUGCCAGCCACCAGCCAACUCAUUAGCAUACAAAAAAUCACUUACUUAUAGAGAUUUCAAGGACUUCAGGUGUUGUAUGCCAGGAAAGACCUUUCACCCUCAAGAUUUGCUGAAAAUCAUCUGACAAAACAGCGAUGAAUAUAUAUGACACACAAAUUUAUUAAUAUGAUGGGAGAAAAUCUCAGAGUGACUACCCCACCACUGAGUGGGGUACAGAUGGUUACUUGCCCUUAAGGGCAAGGGAGAUGGGGAAGCAUAAAUGAUUUUAGGAGCUCAGUAAAUGAUUUUUAGGGGAGUUCAAUGGGCUUGAAGAACAUACAAUGGCCUCCACGAAGUCUGUUGGGCUCAGAGGGUAGACGGUGGUUUGUGACAUCUGUCCAGGUGGACUGACUUCAGACUUUCUCCCUGCAAUAUGAAUUCAGUUAAUAAAAACUCAGGGAAGGGACCAGAGAUAAUUGUUUCCUUCUUUAGGCAGAUAAGGGAGCUUCAGAGAACAACUUUAUCCUGUGCUUUGGGAGAGACAGAGAAUUGGGAGACAUGAGGUGGGGAAGGUCAGAGAGACCUUGCAGCUUCUUCAUUUCUGCAUGUCAAAGCGCCAUAUUUUGGGGAUAUCUGUUUCUGAGCCCCCAAAAUGGAGACAAAGCCUAAAUAUGUAUAUUUCACAAUAUCAUACAUGCAUACCUUUGGUUGCAAUCUUUUGCUAUUCUCAAAUAAAAUGUUUUCUUUUAGGAAGCCAGUCUUUCUAAGGCUGACAACCCAAGGGGGUGGCAUGGGUUGACUUAAGCCAGGCCUGCACAGUGGUGACCUAAGUCACUGCAGGGGCAAGUGGGGUGGGCCAGUGCAGAGCUGUGACAUAAGCAGGUGACUUUCCCUAUCAGAACUUUCAGUUAAGUCACUUCCAUGGAAGAAGGGGCUCUUCUAUGAAGAGCCUCUGUAACAGUACUGACUCCAUGUUAGAGGAAAGCUUGCUUGCUUGAAUACAAUUAUUGCUUUGCUUGAGUCUUUAGAUUAUUCACUAAAAACAGCCUCAGAAAAAGAGGACCUUCAACAGAGAUUUUUUAAAAUGUGCCAACCAACAGCUCUGGGAAUGAAUUGGCCGGCCUGACCAUACCCACAGAAGGCCACAAAGCAUUGACCAAGAAGGCAAGGAUUAAAUGCCCACCUGAGAAUGCCCACGUUUCACAAGAAUGUUUUCAUUAUUCUCCCUAAUUUCCCUUAAAAACCCCUGAUUUAGAAGCAUGACUCAGAAAGGUGAUCUUUGAACCCUAGUUCACUGCCUUCCCUGGGUUGCUGGCUUCUUGAAUAAAGCUAACUUUCCUUUCACCAAAGCUUGUCUCUUGAGUUUUUGCCUUUCAAGCUACAAGUGGCCCAGACCUGAGUUCAGUUACACCUCUGCUAGCAACAGCCAGCACCACCAAUGAACAAACACUGCCUGCAAUAAGCCCCUGUGAACAGUAAUUUAUGUUUCAAAAUAUCUUACAUGCACUUACUCUUUUUUGCCUUCAAAAGCUUCCUCUUGCCCCAACCCCUCAAAUAUGCUUAUGGUCCACAAAAGCACAUGCAUCCCAGAUUGCAAUUCCUUGGCUAUUAGCAAGUAAACUCUUUGUUUUGAGAACUGGUCUCUCUUGCUCAUUUUGAUACUGUAGGUAGUUAGGCAGACAUGAGCAGGGCAGGAGAGGCCCUCCCCCAAACCAGGAAUGUCAGACAAUCACCAGGUGAUAAUCAGGCAGUUGCUAAACUGUUGCUUUAAAAUAAUUGAUUGCAGCUGGUGCCAGGGAAAGCUGUGUCCUAAUAGAUAGAUAACACCUGAAGCUGUUAAUCAGCAGCUUCCAAAUAAGAUCUUAGGAGUUGGGUGAGUGGGGUCAAGCAUGAGCACUAAGAGGCAAAAUGGCAGAGUUUAACUGGUGUAUGACCUUCCUCUAGGAACACUCAACUGGUAAGGGAAGAAUGCCUCAGAUGAGCAUGCAUACAACUCCAGUAAACACACUGUGCAUGUGGCCCCUCCCAAGUGCUGGCAGGCCACUGAGCAUGUAGACCGCCCACCCUAAGGGAAGAAUCAGGGGAGAAGAGAUGCAAGAUCUCAGAAACAUGCCAAUGUAUAAGACCCCAAGUCAAAGGUCAAAUCGUGCACUUGAAUCUCUCAAGUUGCCCUCAUGGUCCUCUUUCGAGUGUACUUUACUUCCUUUCGUUCCUGCUCUAGAACUUUUUAAUAAUAAACUUUCAUUCCUGCUCUAAAAUUUGCCUUGGUGUGUCAAGAAUUCAGGUUGGUGCAGACCCAUACAGAUUCACCACUGCUAACAAUUUCAGGUUGACACAGAAAGGAGGAGCUUUUCCCAGAUCGGCAACCUCUGGAACCAUAUGCAGUACCCACCUGAGUCCAUUGCACUCUCAGCUUCCAUGAGUAAUCUUUAUUCUGUGUGGUUUAGUUCUAUCUUGUAUUCAAACUCCCUUUUGGUUGAACUCUCUGACUUUAUUCAGGAUUUGUUUCUAUUGACACUGCGUCCUUUCUUGUGUGUUCUGCACUGGAACAGCCUACAUGCAAAAGGCCGGGGGAGCUGAGAGGCUGAAGAAAGAGGCUGAAAAAUCUGAAAUCUCAGAAAAAAAAAUUUGAUAGAGACUUAUGUACAAAAGCCAUGACUCAGGCAGCCUGCAGACAGUGGAUCCCUGCUCUGUUACCCCCCAGACCCAGGCCUUCAUAAGGAAGGAAUAUGUAGGGCAAUUGAAGUCAACCCCGCAGGGAAAGACAAGAAUUUUCCAAAAGGCAGGAUUUAUGAUCAUGUUUAUGAUAAUGUGAAGAGAUUGUUUUGACAUAUAGCAGGAUGUGCGGUGAGUCCACACUCCUACACGUCCUAGAACUGGGGUUAAUCAGAAGUGAGCAUGGAAGACUAGCAUCCAAGAUGGAGGUGCUUUAGCCUGCACAUGGUGAGUAUUCUUUUGGUUUCAUUUUUGGCUGCUUGCAUGCAAAUUAGACCUUUUCCUCUUGUUUUCAUUGUUUCUAAACAUCGUUUGAGAGCAAAAUAACACAACAUUGUUGUACACGGUUGAACACUUAAGAGCCACUGGGGUUCUCACCACCAUUUUAUAACAGAUUCGAGUCUCCAAAGUCAAAGACUCCUUUGAAAGGACAAACUGGUCAGAUACAGGCAAUAUUACCACUGGGGGCAUACCAGUUUCAAGAAAAUUUCUGUGUAACAAGGGCUCCGUGGUCACAGGUCAGACAACUUAGGGCAAAGGCCAUCCACCAAGCAAAACAAGUAUCCUGUGAAAGGCAUACUUGUGAAAGCAGAACACUUUGUUCAAGAGUUAGUUUCCUCAAAGGACCAAUAGGAUUUUCUUUUUGCUUUUGAGAGAUUAAGAAAGAGAAUGGGAUUCCCAAAUUCUAAAGCAUGCAGGGCAACCCUCCUUCAGGACCCCAGCCAGCUCCAUGUCCAGACAUUCAGGAUCACCCUUGUGCACCCUUUUAAACCAAUGGGCAAAUUACACUAAGGAUAAUUUGGAGCUCCAAUGGCCAUUUGCAGAUCAAACUUCUGAAGCUUACUUUUCUGAGAACUAAAUUAGGAGACCAUGGCUAUAGGGUCAGUCUUAAUGGGAGACAUAUUACAAUUGGCAUCUUGAGGCUUCAAAUCACAUUCAGGACUCAAAAAUUAC
rnacentral:lncRNA from 1 species